UUUAGUUCACUUAUGACAUAAUUAGCCUAGGUAGGUCAAAAAUAGCACAAGAACCUUGGUUACCUCAUAACUUAGUGUAUCUUCCUCCAAAAUGACAUAAUAAGCUCAAAAUAAGAUAAGUAAUUAUCUUCACCUUCUUAUUCUUUUUCUCCUCCUCCUCCUCCUCCUUCUCCUUCUCCUCCUUCUUCUCCUUCUUCUCCUUCUUCUCCUUCUUCUUCUUCUUCAAGUUUUCUUCUUCUUCUUCUUCUUCUACUUUUCUUCUUCUUCCUCUUCUUCUUCUAGUUUUAUUUUUAGUCUUCUUCU
rnacentral:lncRNA from 1 species